AUACGGAGGGUGCAAGCGUUAAUCGGAAUUACUGGGCGUAAAGAGUACGUAGGUGGUUUAUUAAGUCAGAUGUGAAAGCCCCGGGCUCAACCUGGGAACUGCAUUUGAAACUAGUAGACUAGAGUAUGUUAGAGGGGGGUAGAAUUUCUAGUGUAGCGGUGAAAUGCGUAGAUAUUAGAAGGAAUACCAGUGGCGAAGGCGGCCCCCUGGACCAAUACUGACACUGAGGUACGAAAGCGUGGGUAGCGAACAGAAUUAGAAACCCUUGUAGUCC
rnacentral:rRNA from 1 species